GAGGAGAGGGAGCUAGGGUC
rnacentral:miRNA from 1 species